UACGAAGGGGGCUAGCGUUGUUCGGAAUCACUGGGCGUAAAGCGCACGUAGGCGGAUUGUUAAGUCGGAGGUGAAAUCCCAGGGCUCAACCUUGGAACUGCCUUCGAUACUGGCAAUCUCGAGUCUGGAAGAGGUUAGUGGAACUCCGAGUGUAGAGGUGAAAUUCGUAGAUAUUCGGAAGAACACCAGUGGCGAAGGCGGCUAACUGGUCCAGUACUGACGCUGAGGUGCGAAAGCGUGGGGAGCAAACAGG
rnacentral:rRNA from 1 species